rnacentral:rRNA from 1 species
GUCAAUAUAGCCUGCUAUAAACUAGCAAUAAACGAAGGCGGGUGAUAAGGUAAGUCGUUAUACGACUGAGGUAAUCUACAGAUUGGACUCUAAAAGGUUUGGUCUAACGCCGUGAUACUUGCAUAGGAUGAAAUGUAAUUAUUAUUAACUAUGGCUAAUACAUGUGCCAGCAGCCGCGGUAAUACAUGAGUAGUGAACGUUAAUCAUAGUGGUUGGGUGUAAAAAAUGCUACGACUAGUACCAAAUUUUCGGAAGUGAGAGCUAAUGCUAAUAAGGUAUGAGAAAAUUUGUAAAUUAUUUAUCCAUUUUUAAUUUUAAAGAUAAAAUUUAAUAAGAAAUUAAAAAUAGACCUAUAUAUGGAAAUAGAAUAAUUACAACUUUUGACGUUUAGGCAUGAAAGUAUAGGUGGCGAUAAGGAUUAGAGACCCUUGUAGUCUAUACUGUAAAAGAUAAGUGCUUAUGGUGUAACAACUGUUCAAUUAACGUGCAAGCGCUUUACCUGGG